GAAGUUUCAGCAGGUGGAAGAAUUCAAAGGGCAGAAGAAACUCGCAGAGCGACCGUACGAAGUGGGUACUGAAUACCCGUGCUCGUGGUGUCUCUGGGGCUACGUUUGUUGGGAGAGCUUCGAAGAGGAAUUCGCCGCGAUGGCCACCGAGCUCGCCGAAGCGCCUCCCGAUCUCGGCAUGGACUGGGCUGCCGCCCUGCAGAGGGAGCGCGAGCUGGCGGUCAAGGAAACGGCUGCCAAGAAAGAACGCGAAGAUUUCCGCAAAAUGAUUCGCAGGUCGCUCUAUGCGAUCAAGUGCCGGGCCGGGAUCGCUGGCCGCCAUUCGGUAUCGCU
rnacentral:misc_RNA from 1 species